rnacentral:rRNA from 1 species
ACGCUCGACACCUACGGGAGGGCAGCAGUGAGGGAUAUUGGUCAAUGGGGGAAACCCUGAACCAGCAACGCCGCGUGAGGGAUGACGGUCUUCGGAUUGUAAACCUCUGUCCUCUGUGAAGAUAAUGACGGUAGCAGAGGAGGAAGCUCCGGCUAACUACGUGCAGCAGCCGCGGUAAUCUGAGCGGGCUGGCAAGGC